rnacentral:lncRNA from 1 species
UUAAGUAUGUCAGUACAUGUGUGAAGUUUAAAUUUGAAAUUUAUUUAAUUAAUUAAGAUUGCAUAAUUGUGUUUCAAGGGCUUUCUUUUUUAUUUUUUUCUUUGUUGUGUUAAACCUUGGAUUGUGUUCUUUGUUGGUAGUUCCUGAGGAGUCUAUUAAAGUCAAUAGCCACAUUUUUUUUUGAUAAAACACAAGUCAAUAUUAUUGAUCAUCUCGCUGGAAAAUCAUCCAGCACGAUUUCUUUGACAAAGUAAUCUGCAUUAAUGGCAGAAAAUACAUUGAACAUAUCACAGGUAUAUUUGAUCUGAGAAAUCAUAAGAUUUAACAGUUACAAAAUAUAAGAAAUUAUACCGUGAAUCACCAAUCAUCAAAUCUGACCAAUUGAUCAAACCGCUCCAUAGAUAUCUGUGCAUGUCUAUUCCCUCAGAUUUGCUAUCCAACUGGUUUAAAUUCAAAACUGAUGUUGAGAUCUGGCGAGAAGACCCAAGAAAUUUUAGAUCUAUCAUAUAGAUUUGAAAAAAUUCUUAGAUCUGAGAAAAUACAUAACAAAAAAAAUAAAAACUAAACAAAACUCUCACCAGGAUAGCCUAGUAGAGAAGAAAACUCUCACCAGGAUAGCUUGAGAGAGAAGAAAACUCUCACUAUAAUACCCUAAGAGAAACUUUAUUAAAGUAAGAACAAAGGAAUACGAAAGGAGAAUAAAGGAAGAGGAAGGGAGACCUUGGCUUAACACCAAAAUCUCCCUCCUAUGGAGGAAGAAGAGUAGAGAGAAAGUUGAGGGUAGAGAGGGAAAG